UGGGGAAUUUUGGACAAUGGGCGAAAGCCUGAUCCAGCAAUGCCGCGUGUGUGAAGAAGGCCUUCGGGUUGUAAAGCACUUUUGUCCGGAAAGAAAACCUCCGCCCUAAUACGGUGGGGGGAUGACGGUACCGGAAGAAUAAGCACCGGCUAACUACGUGCCAGCAGCCGCGGUAAUACGUAGGGUGCAAGCGUUAAUCGGAAUUACUGGGCGUAAAGCGUGCGCAGGCGGUCCGCUAAGACAGAUGUGAAAUCCCCGGGCUUAACCUGGGAACUGCAUUUGUGACUGGCGGGCUAGAGUAUGGCAGAGGGGGGUAGAAUUCCACGUGUAGCAGUGAAAUGCGUAGAGAUGUGGAGGAAUACCGAUGGCGAAGGCAGCCCCCUGGGCCAAUACUGACGCUCAUGCACGAAAGCGUGGGGAGCAAACAGGAUUAGAUACCCCCGUAGUCC
rnacentral:rRNA from 1 species